rnacentral:rRNA from 1 species
GUGCCAGCCGCCGCGGUAAUACCGGCAGCUCAAGUGAUGUCCCAUAUUAUUGGGCCUAAAGCGUCCGUAGCUGGCCGACCAAGUCUCCCGGGAAAUCCACCCGCCCAACGGGUGGGCGUCCGGUAGAAACUGGCCGGCUUGGAACCGGAAGGCUCAGAGAGUACGUCCGGGGUAGGAGUGAAAUCCCGUAAUCCCGGACGGACUACCGAUGGCGAAAGCGCCUCAGGAGGACGGACCCGACGGUGAGGGACGAAAGCUAGGGUCACGAACCGGAUUAGAUACCCGAGUAGUCC